GCACAACCAAAUGACCUUCUGACCUCCACCUGUCCCAAAACUGGAUCUGUGAAACACUGGAUUUGAUCCGUAACAAUGGGGAUGCAGAGAAAUUUAAAUGGGUUGCAAUAUACAAACUAAGUGCCUUUCAUGGAAUUUAUAAUUCCCAAACUCACAAGUGGUGUUGAGCAGUUGAAAUUGGUGAAAACAUACCUACACAUUCAACUUCUCCCUUCUUUAUUUCAGAAGAAUGACUGCAGGAUAACCUUCAUGGCAUGGAAUGCCAAAGAUGUGGCUGUGUCUUAUUAUUUCUACCAGUUGGCAAAAAUGCACCCAGAGCCUGGAACCUAGGAGGAGUUCCUGGAUAAAUUCAUGGCUGUAAAGCUGUGUUUUGGUUUCUAGUAUGACUAUACCAGAAACUGCUGGGAGAAAAGGAAAAGACUUUUGUAUCUUUUACCUAUUUUUAUGAAGACAUGAAAGAGAAUUCAAAGUGUGGAAUUCAGAAGCUGUUAAAUAGAGAAAGACGUGCCAGAAGAAACUGUGGGAAAAACCCUCUGGUAUAGCUCUUCUGAUGUGAUAAAGCAGAAUCCUAGUGGAAAUUAUACCACUAUGGAAAAUGAUCAGAUGGACCAUUCUGUCUCCCUUCAUAAGAAAGGAUAUUUCUGAAGACUGGAGGAAUAAAUUCUUUGUCACUCAGUAUGAGAAAUUUGAAGAUUAUGAAAAGAAAAUG
rnacentral:lncRNA from 1 species